AUUUUAUGAAUAAUAUCUAAAUUAUCAACAAUUUGUUUUUAUAACUAAAAUUAACAUAAAAAAUAAAGUUGAUUGAUUUCAGUGAAGUAUGAAUUUUAUAUAUAUAUAUUACUUUUUUCGUCUCACGAUUAUUGUCUAAAUCUCUCUUUGUAAAUGUUAAAUUUUUACAUUUACAAAAUGAUUAGUUUGAUUCAUAAAUGCGGAUAUUAUGGUACCAAUGGUACCAUGCAAAUAGAAUCCGUUCGUGUACUAUUAUUACCGUUUUAUGAUUUACAUUUUUUUCAUCAGUAUGAAGAGUUACUUCAAUCUGGAGAAUCUGAGCUUAGUCCAUCGAUCUCUAUUCUUCAUUUCUUGAAAUUUAUCAAAGAUUAGACCAGCCGGUGAUGGACGUUCCAGUGGCUCUACAGCGCGAACUAAAAAUCGAUUUUUGUUUUAACUAUCUGCAUACUAUACUUAUUAUUAUAAUUACAUAAAUUAUAUUUAUUUGCGUGUUUUCGUUUUUUCUCCAUUGCUACAGUCCGAACGAAAUUUAGAAUUCUCAACUGAAAAUUUAAUUACAGUAAGAAUAAAUGACCGAACUGAGGCAAACAUCUUUUUUUCAGAAACUUUUCAAAUUAGUUUUAAUAACAAUAAUAUGUUUUAUAUUAAAUUAUAUUGAAAUCAAAGUGGAAAAUCAGAAUUUUAAUAUUUAAAAUUUUUACCUGGCAGUUUUUCUUGGAAGAAAUGAAAAAUGUUUAGAAGUUUUAUUAGCAGUCAUGGUUACCAUUUGCGGCAUGUCACGAUGGAUAUGUAUUACCCACGCACAUAUUGACUCGAUACCCGUGUAAUUAAAUAAAACGGCGACAUACUAAUAGUAAAAUUAAAUUAUUCUAACAUUUUAUACCAUGCUAUAUUUUGUUCUCGUCCAUGUCUUUUUUAAUAACUCAUUAUUAAUUAAAUCUAGUAAUUAAUAAUGAUUUGUAACUGCAAACAAUUUCCUUAUCUGUUCGAGCUUGUAUUAUAUAAGAUGAAUAAUGGAAACGACAAAGUUAGCUUAGAUAUCUUAUUGUUAAAAAAAAAAAAAAAAUUAAAAGAAUAAAAAUUCCUCUUAAAGUCGAUCUAAUUAAAUUGUUUACAUUGGAAAAUGCUUGGAAUAGAUAUUAUCCAAAUCUUAUCAAACAAAUAGUUUUUAAAUAUCUUUCAUUCGACACUAUAAACAACGAAACCCUACAGAAUGAAUGAAUAAAACUAACGGCGAUAUAAACCUUAUUUACUGAAAAAAUGGAAUAUUUCAUUAUUAAUAAGAUAAUGUUUUAUUCUUCGGGAAACUACCAGUGUAAUGUUGAACGUCUCUUAUGAUUUCUUUCGAAAUUAAUAAUACAUUUUCGAAACAAGUUUCCAAUCAUAUCUCUCUGUUCGGUAUCAGAAAUUCCGAGUUUAAUCUCAAACAAACGUCAACUCAAACCGCAAUUUUUAGAAGCUGCUGAUUUCGGAAUGAAGCUCCCGGUGAUAGUGGAAGAAUUGGCUCUCUCACUAAUUUCCUGUCGUUUCCACACCCUUUUCAGUCUGUUUCCAGCUAAGAAAACAAGAUUAAUUGUGAAAGGUCACAUCAUCCAUUUUUCCUCCCGUUUUUCACCCAUUCUGUAACAGUGCCAUUAUAAAUUCAUCCAUUGUAAAAUGCAACAGCCUCUUUCAUUUUAAUGUUUUUUCAUUAUUGAUUGGAAUGAAAUUUAUUAGUUUAUUAAUUCUGUUUUUUAAGAUAUUUCGUAUGGAUACAUUGAAGUUAAUAUCAUUCAUUGAAAUUAGUAUGGUAUCUUAGCAUUAUUGUUACAUUACUGUGUUAUAUUUAAUUAAUCAAAUGAGGAUAUCUAUUAAAUUGUAAAUUAUAAAAUUAAUUUUGAGCUUAAUGAAACCCGAUUUAUCCAAAUCUAAUUGACAAUUGGACGACGUACUAAGACGUUCCUCGUGGACAUUGCUUGCUAUAUAUAUUUAUUGAUAAAUUAGAUUUAUAUAAAAUAAUAAUUAAAUUUGUUCGAAUGUAAUGUAAAGUUAAGCGCUAAAACGUGGCCAAGGUUUAAUAAGCAUUUCUCGGAAGAUAUUGUGUUAUCGCAUCACUGCUGCUGCUUGAAUGGCUGCUGAAACAAAAACAAUACGUGAGACGAUACUUCAUUAACAUUAAACAGCAUUUACUUCUCCUCUCUCGAAAUCUCUAGAACUGACAAUAGGUUUUAUCUAGUAUUUUGUAUAAAGAAUGUUUUAGCUUAAUGGUUGGCCUAUCUUUCAAUGACCCUCUUUUUUUUCUUUCUCUUUGCUAAUUAGAUUGUGUGUUUUCCUUCCAUUUUAUGCGACUGACAUUUAAACACGCGGAUAUAAAAAUAUUAAAAACUGAAAAGGAAUAAAAUAACUUUUACGGUCGGUUCGGCGAUAAUUUAUAAUUUCCUGCAAUUUUCCUAUAUCGAGUAGAAUCGCUUUUUUUAUAUCAGUAUUUAAUCUAGCGACAUUUCCUGGUAAUCUUUCCGUUUUUAAUUCGUAUUAAGCGACAAAAAUUCUCGAUAAGUAAG
rnacentral:lncRNA from 1 species